rnacentral:lncRNA from 1 species
GGCCUUUUUACUAGGCGCCAUAAGUUACAGGAAAGGGACAGUCACCUGCAGCACGGAGCAGCAAUGGCUCUGAACCCUUCACGCGCUAUAUUCAGUCUUUAAGAGAGAUUGUAAAACAUUACAUAGCCAAGAACACUUAUCAUGCCUGGAUUACUUAAGACCUUAGGAGGCCACUUUCUGCAAAGGCAGCCUUUCAGAAGAGGCAGGGAAGCCCAGGCUGUACCCCACAUCAUGCAUGCAGUCAGGAAGCCCAUAAGUCGUAGUAAGGGAAGAACACACAUAAAAGUCCAAACUUCCAACUUAAUUUAAACAGAAAGGCAAAAACUGACUCAUGAAACCAAACAUGGGUCAACACGAGAACACUGUCAACCCUGAGAACCCAGAGGACAGUUCACAGAUGGGAAACUGUGGAAAUGUCAGCAGCAAUGUACUCAUUUGCACUAAGCUAUCAUUUCGUGCCUGCAACACCCAGUUUACAUUAUUACUUUAAUGUUAAUCAACAGUUGGGCAAGAUCCGUGAAGUGUCGAGUACUGGGCCAUACGAAGUCAGAUCACCUCUAAAUUACAGGAGUUGGAAUCCAUCUCUAUAUUCUGCAACUCUAAGUGGCAUGACUGAUUAAAGUUGGGUCAGCACACCCACUCAGCUUUUGUGUGCUACAAGAACGAUAUGAAGACAACAGAAAACAAGUCUAAGAGGAUGCAAUUUUAUCGACAGGAAAAUUAUCACCUGGAAGGAAAAGGAGAUGGUUAUGAUUCUCUGUUUGGAUAGAAAUGAGUCCGUGCAACCUCUGGUUUACUGCAGGUACAAGCUGUGAGGACUGUGCCACACGCUCAGAUGACGGCUCUGCUCCAGGACAAUCAGCCAGGAAAAGGUUGAGAAUUCCCCGUGGGUCACCAAGGAACGUCCGUCCACCUGCCUCGUGCUCCUGCAGAAGCUCAUUGCCUAGGCCACUCAGUUGGCGUUGGGACAAGACACUAAGAAUUCUUCUCCCUGUAGCUGGGGAGACAGAGCCAGCAGGAGUAGAGAGCUAAUGUAGAGGACUGUGACCACAGUGUGCUGUAUACUCACAGGAGAUUGUCAAAGGUGAAAACUGAUUUUUUAAAAUUUUUUAUUGGAUAUUUUAUUUAUUUACAUUUCAAAUGGUAUCCACUUUCUCUGUUUCCCCUCUGGAAAACCUCUAUACCAUUCCCGCUCACCAUAAAGAUUUUUUUCU